rnacentral:lncRNA from 1 species
CUUGUUCUGUGUGUGUGUGAUCGCCAUUGGGGUCGUGCAGGCACUGAUUGUGGGGUACGCAUUCCACUUCCCGCACCUGCUGAGCCCGCAGAUCCAGCGCUCUGCCCACAGGGCUCUGUACCGACGACACGUCCUGGGCAUCGUCCUCCAAGGCCCGGCCCUGUGCUUUGCAGCGGCCAUCUUCUCUCUCUUCUUUGUCCCCUUGUCUUACCUGCUGAUGGUGACUGUCAUCCUCCUCCCCUAUGUCAGCAAGGUCACCGGCUGGUGCAGAGACAGGCUCCUGGGUAGGUGA